rnacentral:rRNA from 1 species
GCAAGUCGAACGAACCUUCGGGUUAGUGGCGGACGGGUGAGUAACGCGUGAGAAUCUGCCCUCAGGAGGGGGAUAACGGCUGGAAACGGCCGCUAAUACCCCAUAUGCCGAGAGGUGAAAUGAGUAUUCGCCUGAGGAUGAGCUCGCGUCUGAUUAGCUAGUUGGUGGGGUAAGAGCCUACCAAGGCAUCGAUCAGUAGCUGGUCUGAGAGGAUGAUC